UACGGAAGGGGCGAGCGUUGUUCGGAAUCAUUGGGCGUAAAGGGCGCGUAAGUGGUUCUGUAUGUCUACCGUGAAAGCGUACGGCUCAACCGUAUUUUGUCGGUAGAAACUGCAGGACUUGAGGCUGGGAGGGGCUGGUGGAAUUCCCUGUGUAGCGGUGAAAUGCGUAGAGAUGGGGGAGAACACUCGUGGCGAAGGCGGCCAGCUAGACCAGUUCUGACACUGAGGCGCGACAGCGUGGGGAGCAAACAGG
rnacentral:rRNA from 1 species